rnacentral:lncRNA from 10 species
UUCACAGCUGGCAGCAUGGCUGAAUGACUCACCCCUCCCGGAAGGAUGCCUGUGUCAACCCAGCAGCUUCAUUCAGGUCAAUGCUUAUUCCCUGAGCACCCGCUCCAGCUCAAAGGAAUUCUGAUUUUUAGAUGAUGGAAAAAAGGGAGGAAGGAAAGAAAGGAAGAAAGAAGCAGAAGAAAGAAAGCAAGAAAGAAACGAAUAGCAGCAUCCAACAAACCAAGUUUACAUGUACCUUAAGGGAAAGAAUUUUGUAAGAAAGCUUUUAUUUGCAGAUGAUGUCUGCAAAUUGCACCUGUGGCCAACCAGAAAUGGGGAGGACCGACAACUGCAGCAAGCCCCUUACCAGCUUCAAAAUUAUAUUUAUCUUAUUUCCCCCAUUUUUAGUAGUUGAAAACACUUCAACACAUCCACUGUUAAUAAUUCUUGCUUCUGAGCAUAUAGAAAAUAGGUCAGUGAUGGGACAUGCUCAGGAUUAUAGGCCAUGGUGGGAGAUAAGAAGAUCUUUGAGACCUGAACAACUUCCUCCAUGAGGCUGUCACUCAGGGCAGCUCCUGGGUAAGACCUGGGAACCAUGCUGUUAAGCUGUGCUGAGAUGGAGUUAGAGGAAAUGUGGAGGAGGGCUUUCCAGAAGGCAGGAGGCUGGAAGAGGGACUUGAGGGUCUUGAAGAAAAGGCAUGUGGGCAGGAGUGUCAGGAGGGGCAUGAGGUAAUGUUCCCAGAGUGCUCUGAGCCCUCUGGUUAAAGGACAUUUAACCACAGAUUAUUAUACUACCUAUUAUUUGUGUCUGUAAUAACUGCUAUGACAAUGGAUGCUGCAAAGGUCAGCCCUGGGGCUUCUGUUGUCUGAUGCACUUAGUAAGGGUUGGGGGUGGAAAAGAGUUGAUGAGGCUUGCUAUUGAUCUAAACACUUUUCAGCUGGCCAAGGCCAAGGUGUGGGGGGCGGCCUAUGAGAAACUCCAGAUGAAACUGAUCUCCUCUGGGACUCAGGCAAGGAUGGCAGCUGAAAUUUAACUUGAAUAUGUGCAGGGUAAGUCCCAUGGUGUAAAAGCUCAUCUCAGCAUCUUUUUGAGUGCAGGACUCUCCACCCUGAGAGGCUGGACCAGCCACAGAGAGUAGGCACUCACUCAGUUCAGGGCAGAGGCCUGCCUUGGUCACCAAGCAUGCAGCAUGCCAGGUGGAGUGGGGCCCUGGGCUCUGGGCUCCUGAACAGUUACUAGGCCCCACAGGAGUUUGGACUGCCCUUUCCUGUCUAGAGUCAUCUCAGAUCUCACUGAGCAUUGCUUGGUAGGACUGUAGCAAUUCCACCCCUUCACCUUACAUGAAGAGAGGGAGGAUCUUGGAGGAGAAAAGUCUCAAAAAAAAAAAAAUUAAUAAUAAUAAAGAGUUUGAGACCAGUCUGGCCAACAUGGUGAAACCCUGUCUCUACUAAAAACACACAAAAAAUUAGCUGGGCAUGUUGGUACAUGUCUGUAAUCCCAGCUACUCAGAGGCUGAGGCAGGAGAAUCGCUUGAAUUCAGGAGGUGGAGGUUGCAGUGAGCUGAGAUGGCACAACUGCACUCUAACCUGGGUGUCGGAGUGAGACUCUGUCUCUAAACAAACAAACAAAUAAAUAAAUAAAUAAAUAAGCUGGGCAUGGUGGUGCAUGCCUGUAAUCCCAGCUACUCGGGAGGCUGAGGUGGUAGGAUUGUUUGAGCCCAGGGAGUCAAGGCUGCAGUGAGCCAUAAUAGCACCACUGCACUCCAGCUUGGGUGACAGACCCUCAAAGACAAGACAGAGACCCUGCCUCAAAGGAAAAAAAAAAGUUUCAUUGUGUGUCCUUCAUUCAGACUGGGUCCCAUGCCCUAAGCCAAUCGUGUGCUCUGAUUGGCUAGGCCUGUCAUUUGCCCAGCCCUGUUGACUAGGGGUGGGGUCAACUCUCCCUGAAGCCCAGGGAUUGGAGCAGGGGAAGUGCCCUCCCAGAGGAAUAUCAAGGUAUGGUUGCCAGGAGGGGGAAAUGGUUGCUGGGCAGCAAAACAGCAGUUAUCUAUUAGACCCACAUUUGCAUUGUACUUUUCAGUGUGUGUCUCAUGUGCAUUAUUUCUUGCUAGCUACUGUGACCUCUUGGCUGCUCCUGGAAUGCUCAUGUUUUCUCACCCCUUUAGGUCUUCAAUGUUACCUACUCAACAAACCUUCCCUGAACACCCCAUUUAAAAUAUGUAACCUCCCUCUACCUCUCCCCAAAUUCUCAAUUCCCCUUCUCUGCUUUAUAUAUACAUUCUUUCCUUAGAGCUUAACACUAUCAUAUUAUUUUACUUCUUUAUUUUCUUACCAGGCUCUCCCAGUUGAAAUGUAAGUUCCAUGAGGUAGGGACUUGUAUCCAUUCUGGUCACUGCUACAUCAUCUGUGGCAAAACAGUGUCUGGCACAUAGUAGAUACUCAAUAAAAAAUAGUUGACUGAAUGAAUGAAUGUGCACAGCCAUCCUGUGAGGUAGGUGGGAUGGAGGUGAUUCUCUCUGUGUUAUAGAUAAGGACAUUGAAAUUUGAGCAAAGGAUCCUGUUGGUACAAAGAUCAAAAAAAAAUUUUUUUUUAACUUUAAUUGUUCAGUGCUAAUGAGAAAACAGCAGAGGGAACUUGAUUCAUUACAGUGUGUUCCAAUCAAGUGAAGGUUAAAUGAUGCCCUGAUGCAGUAGUUCAAAUAGAGAAAGUGGUAGGAGAAUUGAGUCAUUGCCUGGCACGUGGUGAUAUAGGCAUCCCCAACGCAGAAAGAACCACCUGCUUGAUCACAGUCAGAAUUAAAUCAUGCUGGGAGUAGCAAUUUUGUUUCAGCAAAUAGCAACAGUUACAUUUAAAUUAGUGUGGCUAAUUUGAAUCUUACUGGUUUUAUAGUUUCUUUUAAAUAGAAUUUGUAAGCUUGUUUUCAUUUUGUAGUUGAUUGUAAACCCCAAAUGUUAAGAAGUGUUGUGCCUAGUUUUAUGUUCAUACACAUUUAAGGAACAUUAAAAUAAAAAUUAAGUAACUUUGUGAGGAUUUGUAUCCUUUCAAAAGGAACUUGCUUAGUAUUCAAGAUAGAGAAACAUUGUUUCAGAAGAUUCAAAUCAUCCUCUCACUGGAGAUAAAAAGGAGGAGUUGCAGAAAGACAUUCUUAGAACAGUGCUCAGAACUUUAUUACCAGGAGCUUAAAGACUGUCUGGUGAAUCCAGCCCUGUCAUUUUGCAGAUAAGUAAACUGAAGCCCAGCGAGCUCAGGUCUCCUUGCCUUGUCCUGCUUCUCACAUAAGGAUAUCUGCCCCUGAAAGCUAUCCCAUCAUUUCCAUGGAAAUGAUCUGGACAGAGUGGCUUUUCAGCUAGUGGCUGCUGUAAUUGGUAAGGCCAAUGCUGUGUUGUGG